GGCUCGGGGGAGCGGCCGCCCCGCUGCCCGGCGGGGACUGAAGGGCUCUGAGCCGCUCCCUCGUCCGUCUUGGAACCGUGCGGGUUUCUCGCCCGGUGGUCGGCGGCCCCUCGGCUGAAUGGCUGCAACCGGGGCGGAGGAGGGACGGGACGGUGCCGCCCGGCUCCCUGUGCGUAACGCACGGCUUUGAGGCCGGCAGGAGGGAGCGGCGAAGGACUGCCGGGGGCUGCGCGAUGAGCCCUUCUGGGGGUGGGGACACAGAGCGCUCCCGGUGUGUUGGCGCUGGGCGGCUUCUGAGGAGACGCAGAGCUCGGUGCGGAGCUGUCGGAAGGAGGGUGAUGCGUUUGUAAGGCUGAAGAGUGGCUUUAACUGGAUGCGGAGGGGGGGGGGAAUCCACUCGUGUGGUUACCGAGUAGCUUUCACGUAUACCGAAUACGGGCCGUAGCUCCAGGAAGUGCUGAGUGCCGCCACGGGGCUGCGUCGCUCUCGAGAGGUGGGGAAUUUGUUUUCAUUGCAACUGAAGGCAGGAGAAGGAGCGGCAACAGCAGCUGUGUGGGUCACUUCGGAGGACAGUAGGGCAGCACAGAGGGGUUCUGCUGCAGAUGGCUGUACUCAGAUUCACCUGGAGGGUGAGAAAGGCACCGGGCCCUGAUGGGUACUGAUGGGAAGGGGAGCUGGGCAAGUGAGAAGUGACAGCUAUUAGCGUGAGUUCCUCCUGGGGAGCUGCCUGGCGGGGUGGGAGAGUGAAGCAAGGAAGUGGAACGGGUAGGAGUGGAUCAGGACGUGCAGGGUGGGCUGGAAGGGGCCUGGGGUCACUAUUCACUACUGCUGUUGGUUCCCGCAGCUGAGAACAGGGUUGUGAAUGGAAGUGCUCUCUUCAGCCCUCAUCAAAUUGCUCCAGCGAUGGCAUUAGGUCUAAUUAGCAAAUGUAAAUAGACUUGCAUUAAAUACCAUCUUGCUGUGGCUCCAGCUGGCUGUGUGGAGCUGCCUGUUGGUUGUGUUACGUACCAGCUGUGUGCUGUCUCUCCAUCUAUGGGACUUGCCCUGCAGUGUUCUCAGCUGGUAGAAUUUAGGUGUUUGAUUUUGUGAUGUCUGCCUCCGCCGCAGAUUGGGAUUGGAAAAAUCUGGGAUUUGGAAAAAGCUGUGGAAAAAAAACCUGUCUCUUUGUUAGCUUCUUGUGGGAAUGUUGAAGACGAGUAUGUGUGUGUCAAUUCAGUGGACUGUUUAUGGACACAAAAGCAAGAAAGAUGUAAGGAAAGUUCUCAGAAGGGACAUUCCAAGAGGGCUGCCAUACAGCUGCCUCCCCCGGUCUGUAGAUUAAGCUACCCCAUAGCAACUGCCCCACUGCACUGCCUGGGAGCUUGUCAAGACAGCAGAAUGUCUCCUUGCCUUGGAUGCCGGCCCUGUCCUUGUGCAGCACCUGUCCCUGCCCUCUACCCGGGUGAGAAGAAAGCUGCUCUCGUGAUGAUGGCUCCUGCUGUGUGUGCUCAGAGUCCUCCUGCUCUCCGUAUGUACCCGCACUGCAUGGCAUCAGGCCUGGGAGUUGGGCCCCAGCAGGAACCCUUCUCCUUCUCCCCAUCUCUUUCUCGAUCUUUUGAUGCUGACGGGGGAGCAGAAGCUGGAGGAGCAGCAGGGGCAGGAGCUGACCGCCGAACUGUUUCACGUUCUUCCCCACGUUCCUCUCUCCUAUCGUCUGCACGCCGCCAUGAGCUUGCUACAAAAAGACAUUAAAACCACCUUUUGUUACGUUCAACCAACAGCCUGCAAGAGUUUAAGCAAUCAAGCCUAGCACUGACAGUGUGAUUUACUAAUUCUCAAUCUUGCCAAGAGUUAAUACAAAUAUGACAGCCAAAUGCACAGCUUAAUUUUAUAAUGAAGUAAUGGACAGGAACUACUCAUGCCUCUUAAGAGAUUCACCAUUGCUGUCAGCAAGUGAAGUGUCUGUUUUAAAACAAAGUAACUGCAGUAAAAACGUUCUAGUGAUGUACAUGGUUUUACAAUGUAAAAUACAUCCUUAUAUUAUCAGAAUUAAAAGCACAAAAGCAUCUCUUUAGAAACAA